rnacentral:lncRNA from 1 species
GCUGAGUGCAGCCAGUGGCGUGAUGAUGGACUAAUUUGUCACUUCUACUCUGAGGCUGCUAAAAGUAGGUCCGGAUCCUUUUUCCCAUCAAUGAAGGUGUCCAAGAACUUAGAGAAGCUGAAGCCUGAAUCCCUGAGUCACGUUGGAGGACAACCAUCUGGCUCAAAACACUACUUUUAUUUUUACAAUUUCAUAUGUAUAUACCAUGUAUUCUAAUCAUAUUCAGCCUCCAUGAGCCUCUUCUCAUCCCUCUUCUUUGCCCCUCUGAGCAUAAGAUGCUACCCACUCCACCCCACCAGCAAUCAUUAACAGUCAUUGUCCCCUCAGGAAGAGCAGGGCCUCAUGAAACCCCUCAUGAGGAAGGGUUGGAGGACCCACCCUUGUGCGGAUCUCCAUCGGCCGUGUCGUACCUGGACGGCAAAGAUGCUCCCUCAUCACCUGACACUUAUAUUCUUUCUGCUCCCUCUUCUCCUGUAUUCCUUGAGCCUUGAGGGGUUGGGUUAGGUGUCCCAGGUAAAGCUAUGCACUCAUUCGUCACUCACACCCAGCACUGUGACCAGAUGCAAGGACUGUAUUCGUAGGUGCCUUCUGCAAACAGGAACCUCUCUAUUUCAUCAGAUCACAUUCUGACAGGAGUGCUGAGCCGUUCAAACGGAGUGAGGUAGAGCAGACCUGCAAGAUCACUUGAACCCAGCUAGGCAAUAGUAAGGCCUCCAUCUCAAAAAGAAAAGGAAGAAAAAAAGAAAAAAAAAAUCUUUGAUUUGUAACUACAGUAGAGCUAAGCAACCCCAAUAUUCAAGCUAAUGGAAAAUUUCCAGAAGAAGAAACAUUGAUUGAUUAUGCAGGAAACAAAACGGAUGUCCCUGGGUACCCAGGAGAGGAUGGAAUCUACUGACCAAGGAGCAGACUCAGCUCUGCCAAGUAUAGCCUUCUCUGAGUGGUGGGGCAGACCUGCAUGAUUGCUCUGUGAGUCUAACCCUGUGUUACAGGUUUCUGGUCCUUGACAUUUCCUAGGUUCAUGCUGGAGUGAGAGAAAACUAGUGUGGCUGGCCAGGAAUUGAGGGGAGAUGCUUGGGCUGGGAAGCAGGAAAAGAUCUUGGAAAUGGGAGGCAAAGCCUAUCAGGAAAGGAGCUGCAGAAAAGGCAACAGAGCAAGUGUGGGGCUCAAUUUUGUCAGCACCCCUAAUUCUAAGAUGUCUUGCAUGUUCAAAGGAGCAGAGCAAAGGAGCCUAGAGGACAGUGGUGACACAAUGGGGACACAGUAACCCAGAACACAGGCAUAGCAGGCAAGAUACAGACAGAUCACAGCUCCUUAACUGCUUCUGGGUUUAUAGUCCUGAGAAAAUCAUUUUGUUUAAUGCCCUCGAUUUCGGUAUGAGUAUGCAGAGAGUAGCAGUGCUGGAUCCCAGCUUGACAGGCAGGUUGCCAUUCAGAUUAAUGAAACAUGAUAUGCUCAACUUCUUGGAAGGCUGGUGCUAUAGAAACAGUAGGUGUUAUUAUUCCCAUAAAAGGAAAGAGCAGCCCUCUCUGGUGAAAUGGCUCUUAGCACAGAAUCCUCAUUAAAAGCUGUGGUGCAAUUUUCCAAGUUGCAUUAGUGAGACUUGGCAAUGGAUG